GGGCUUUCGCUGCCCGUGAUGUUAGCGGCGGACGGGUGAGUAACACGUGGGUAACCUGCCUGUAAGACUGGGAUAACUCCGGGAAACCGGAGCUAAUACCGGAUAGUUCCUUGAACCGCAUGGUUCAAGGAUGAAAGACGGUUUCGGCUGUCACUUACAGAUGGACCCGCGGCGCAUUAGCUAGUUGGUGAGGUAACGGCUCACCAAGGCGACGAUGCGUAGCCGACCUGAGAGGGUGAUCGGCCACACUGGGACUGAGACACGGCCCAGACUCCUACGGGAGGCAGCAGUAGGGAAUCUUCCGCAAUGGACGAAAGUCUGACGGAGCAACGCCGCGUGAGUGAUGAAGGUUUUCGGAUCGUAAAGCUCUGUUGUUAGGGAAGAACAAGUGCGAGAGUAACUGCUCGCACCUUGACGGUACCUAACCAGAAAGCCACGGCUAACUACGUGCCAGCAGCCGCGGUAAUACGUAGGUGGCAAGCGUUGUCCGGAAUUAUUGGGCGUAAAGGGCUCGCAGGCGGUUUCUUAAGUCUGAUGUGAAAGCCCCCGGCUCAACCGGGGAGGGUCAUUGGAAACUGGGAAACUUGAGUGCAGAAGAGGAGAGUGGAAUUCCACGUGUAGCGGUGAAAUGCGUAGAGAUGUGGAGGAACACCAGUGGCGAAAGCGACUCUCUGGUCUGUAACUGACGCUGAGGAGCGAAAGCGUGGGGAGCGAACAGGAUUAGAUACCCUGGUAGUCCACGCCGUAAACGAUGAGUGCUAAGUGUUAGGGGUUUCCGCCCCUUAGUGCUGCAGCUAACGCAUUAAGCACUCGCCUGGGGGAGUACGGUCGCAGACUGAAACUCAAAGGAAUUGACGGGGCCCGCACAGCGGUGGAGCAUGUGGUUUAUCGAGCACGCGAAGAACUUACAGUCUUGACA
rnacentral:rRNA from 1 species